rnacentral:rRNA from 1 species
CACCGGAGCUUGCUCCACCGGAAAAAGAAGAGUGGCGAACGGGUGAGUAACACGUGGGUAACCUGCCCAUCAGAAGGGGAUAACACUUGGAAACAGGUGCUAAUACCGUAUAACAAUCGAAACCGCAUGGUUUUGAUUUGAAAGGCGCUUUCGGGUGUCGCUGAUGGAUGGACCCGCGGUGCAUUAGCUAGUUGGUGAGGUAACGGCUCACCAAGGCCACGAUGCAUAGCCGACCUGAGAGGGUGAUCGGCCACAUUGGGACUGAGACACGGCCCAAACUCCUACGGGAGGCAGCAGUAGGGAAUCUUCGGCAAUGGACGAAAGUCUGACCGAGCAACGCCGCGUGAGUGAAGAAGGUUUUCGGAUCGUAAAACUCUGUUGUUAGAGAAGAACAAGGAUGAGAGUAACUGUUCAUCCCUUGACGGUAUCUAACCAGAAAGCCACGGCUAACUACGUGCCAGCAGCCGCGGUAAUACGUAGGUGGCAAGCGUUGUCCGGAUUUAUUGGGCGUAAAGCGAGCGCAGGCGGUUUCUUAAGUCUGAUGUGAAAGCCCCCGGCUCAA